rnacentral:rRNA from 1 species
GGGGGGGGCAAGCGUUGUUCGGAAUUACUGGGCGUAAAGGGCUCGUAGGCGGCCCUCUCAGUCGGAUGUGAAAUCCCCAGGCUUAACCUGGGAACGGCAUCCGAUACUGGAGGGCUUGAAUUCGGGAGAGGGAUGCAGAAUUCCAGGUGUAGCGGUGAAAUGCGUAGAUAUCUGGAGGAAUACCGGUGGCGAAGGCGGCAUCCUGGACCGAGAUUGACGCUGAGGAGCGAAAGCUAGGGGAGCAAACGGGAUUAGAUACCCCGGUAGUCCUAGCCCUAAACGAUGAAUGCUUGGUGUGACGGGUAUCGAUCCCUGUCGUGCCGAAGCUAACGCAUUAAGCAUUCCGCCUGGGGAGUACGGUCGCAAGGCUG